rnacentral:misc_RNA from 1 species
GAAAUGCGAUACUUGGUGUGAAUUGCAGAAUCCCGCGAACCAUCGAGUCUUUGAACGCAAGUUGCGCCCGAAGCCUUUCGGCCGAGGGCACGUCUGCCUGGGUGUCACGCAACGUCGCUCCCACCCCAUUGAGGGGGCGGAUUCUGGCCUCCCGUGCGCCGGUCGCCCGCGGUUGGCCCAAAACCUAAGUCCCUGGCUGCGAACGCCACGACAAUCGGUGGUUGUAAGACCCUCGGACACGGUCGUGCGCGGACGCAUGCCCCGAAACAGCGAGACCCCGAUGCGUCGCUAAGGGCACGCUCCCACCGCGACCCCAGGUCAGGCGGGACUACCCGCUGAGUUUAAGC